CAGCCGCCGCGGUAAAACCAGCACCUCAAGUGGUCAGGAUGAUUAUUGGGCCUAAAGCAUCUGUAGCCGGCUCUGUAAGUUUUCGGUUAAAUCUGUACGCUCAACGUACAGGCUGCCGGGAAUACUGCAGAGCUAGGGAGUGGGAGAGGUAGACGGUACUCGGUAGGAAGGGGUAAAAUCCUUUGAUCUAUUGAUGACCACCUGUGGCGAAGGCGGUCUACCAGAACACGUCCGACGGUGAGGGAUGAAAGCUGGGGGAGCAAACCGGAUUAGAUACCCGGGUAGUCCCAGCUGUAAACUAUGCAAACUCAGUGAUGCAUUGGCUUGUGGCCAAUGCAGUGCUGCAGGGAAGCCGUUAAGUUUGCCGCCUGGGAAGUACGUACGCAAGUAUGAAACUUAAAGGAAUUGGCGGGGGAGCAC
rnacentral:rRNA from 1 species